CCCCUAGAUGUUCUGGGCCGCACGCGCGCUACACUGAACAGUUCAACAAGUCUUAACCUUGGCCGAUAGGUCUGGGUAAUCUUUGAACGCUGUUCGUGAUUGGGAUAGACCUUUGCAAUUAUGGGUCUUCAACGAGGAAUUCCUAGUAAACGCAAGUCAUCAGCUUGCAUUGAUUACGUCCCUGCCCUUUGUACACACCGCCCGUCGCACCUACCGAUUGAAUGGUCCGGUGAAAUGUUCGGAUCGCGGCAAAUCGGACGGGUAACCGUCAGGUUCGCUGCGAGAAGUUCAUUAAACCUUAUCAUUUAGAGGAAGGAGAAGUCGUAACA
rnacentral:rRNA from 1 species